GACUUUUAAUCAAGGAUUUAGGGUUUUUGCAAGGUAAAUCCACUGUAAUCCAAGCUCUGAAAAGGACAGCACAGCACCCAUAAAAAGAGGUGGACACCACAACCUUUUCUGCAGUUAUGGUAAGGUCUCAAAAUCAAGCUUCCUUUGAUAAAGUCGAUCUUAUCAUGAGAAGUGAGCCUCUGAUGUUGUAGAGUGAUAAUAAAAUAGGUUUCUUCUUCAUUUUGAGAGAGCCCAUUUCUUCCCCAUACAUGAACCUUCCCACAACCCCAAAAGAAAUGACCCUGUUCUGGAUUUUUUUAAUUUAUAAGAAAUGUCUCUUCCCUUUGGCUACUAGCCCAGACAGGCAGAUGCACUUGAGAAGCCAUUCCUCUCGUAAGAGCUUGCACGGCCUAAGGUCUAUAGAUUUGAAUGGGCAGAGUGUCGUACUGGAAAGUGAUUGUAGUACUAAA
rnacentral:lncRNA from 1 species